GUCAACGUCCAUACCACGUUGUGCGCACCGGUUCUCGUCCGAUCACCGAAGUUAAGUAACAUCGGGCGCGGUUAGUACUUGGAUGGGUGACCGCCUGGUAAUACCGCGUGACGUUGACU
rnacentral:rRNA from 1 species